AUCCGGAUUUAUUGGGUUUAAAGGGUGCGUAGGUGGCUAAAUAAGUCAGUGGUGAAAGUUUGUCGCUCAACGAUAAAAUUGCCAUUGAAACUGUUCAGCUUGAGUAUAUUUGAGGUAGGCGGAAUGCGUGGUGUAGCGGUGAAAUGCUUAGAUAUCACGCAGAACUCCGAUUGCGAAGGCAGCUUACUAAACUAUAACUGACACUGAAGCACGAAAGCGUGGGUAUCAAACAGGAUUAGAUACCCUGGUAGUCCACGCAGUAAACGAUGAUUACUAGGAGUUUGCGAUACACAGUAAGCUCUACAGCGAAAGCGUUAAGUAAUCCACCUGGGGAGUACGCCGGCAACGGUGAAACUCAAAGGAAUUGACGGGGGCCCGCACAAGCGGAGGAACAUGUGGUUUAAUUCGAUGAUACGCGAGGAACCUUACCCGGGUUUGAACGCAUUUCGACCGCUCCUGAAAGGGAGCUUCUAGCAAUAGCGAAUUGCGAGGUGCUGCAUGGUUGUCGUCAGCUCGUGCCGUGAGGUGUCGGCUUAAGUGCCAUAACGAGCGCAACCCUUAUUGAUAGUUACCAGCAUGUAAUGAUGGGGACUCUAUCAAGACUGCCAGCGUAAGCUGUGAGGAAGGUGGGGAUGACGUCAAAUCAGCACGGCCCUUACAUCCGGGGCGACACACGUGUUACAAUGGCGUGGACAAAGAGCAGCUACCAGGUGACUGGAUGCUAAUCUCCAAACCACGUCUCAGUUCGGAUCGGAGUCUGCAAC
rnacentral:rRNA from 1 species